rnacentral:lncRNA from 1 species
AUGUUUAUGAGAUUUUUGGAGUUACCUUUUCUUUCUUGUUUACUCAUACGGGCUGUCAUGGCUUACCGAGUUUGGUGUUGUUGCAUUCCCGGUACACUAUUCAAAUUGUGUAGCGGGUAAUCUCACAGGUCAGGAGAAUCAGGGCAGUGAUCGUGCGGUUUAGAGUAUUAGUAUUGGAUUUAUAGCAUUUGUUUUGUGAGGAGAAUUAUACUCUUUGAGUUUUAUAAUUUGAUUUGGUGAGAGUGUGCUGUAAUAAGUAGCUUGAGGAUUUGGUUUAUGUAAUAUCAAGAGGUGUAAUUAGUGGUUGCUUCUGAGAGAAAAAUUCAGAACGUAUUUGUAUUGUUAUUAGUCAUGUUCCGAAUUUGAAUCCUUAUUUCAAAAUUCGGGGUGU